rnacentral:ribozyme from 1 species
CACCUUCCUGUUGACUCUUGCCAAUUAAAAACGUCCACCCAAAAACCAUUGUCAAUAUGGCGAGGAGUGUCGCCUGAUUAAAUACACGGGGCAACAUAUUGCGAAGAACAUGCUCCUGAAGAGCGGUAGGAUCUGCCUGUGAAUUGUUCAACGACUCUGUCUGACUAGGCUUUUUCUCGCAAAUUGAUCUCAAAUACGGGACUAU